GGGAGGGGUAGGUGAAGAGGGUUGUGAUUUACAUAAGCCAUUUCUCCAAGGAUCAGUUCUCAUGAAGGCAGUGAGAAGUAAAUAUGCAUGUUUCCAGUAAUCCCUUUUUUAAUAUGUGUUAGGUAAAGUGAAAGUCCUUUUGCACCCAGACUAGACAUAAGUCCUCUCAGACUUCUAAUCUGUAGCUAUCUCAGGUCACAUACCAGUUGGCAGAAGAAUAGGGUGCUAUACUGUGCUUUGUUAUUAGAUCUUUUCAUUUGUAUCGAUUCUUUUUUUCAUUUAAGGACACUUCUGUGUCAGCUGUUGUAGCUUUGUUGCAGCCUGUCCAGUGUUAGAUCAGAAUCUGGUGUGCCAACUGGAUUAAAUCAUAGCAGCUCUUUGCUCACAGCACCAGUGCAACUUUCACCAUUGCUUCAUUUCAUCAGUGCCAUCAGAUGUUGGCCAGACGGUGCUAUUAGUUUCCUUUUCCACAUGUGCUUUUCGUUGGAGGUGGGUGUUGUGAGCCUCAUGUUCUCUGAAAUCAUCCCUGGCAUCUCAUUGUGCAUAACAGCUCCGUCUCUUAACUGUGGUUUUCCUAUGAAGUGCAAUAUGGCAGAAGCGGUCCGUGGGUAAGCUUAGCAGUGUUGCUACCUGUGUGUCUUGGGAAGGGUUGAGCACAGCUGCCUUUCAACUGUCAGAUCAGAAAGGUUUCUGUGUUCUUCACUGACAUUGGCUGCUGGUCCUCAGGAACCUGCUGACAUCUCAGUGGUGAGCCUGCUCCCAUGCUGGGCUUCAUUCAUGAGAUCCCUCUGCUUUUCAGCCAGAAGUUCUGGCACCGUUUAUCACUGGAAGCAGCACACUUCUUCAAUGGGUAUUUAAACAGAGCAUGGGAUCCGUGAAUCUGUACAGUGCUCUGCAGUGUGAAUCUGUGUAUACACCUUCCCUCUGUCUUGACAGCUGGAGGUACACACACUGCAUUCGCUCCUGCAGGUCUUCCCAGUUUAAGUGCCUCUUUGCAGUUACUCCUGGUGACUUUUGCUUACUGCUGCACCUCCCUUACCAGCUGUUUGGUCAGUUGUCUGUCCCUCCUGUGCUGAGGUAAAUUAUUUAGCUGAGUUUAUCCUUGCCAAAGCCGUGACUGAAGGGGGGAACAUUUGGAGCAGCCCCCAGAGCACCUGUUUCUUCUGAGUGCUGGGCCUUUCCUUGAAGACGGUUAAGAACGUUCUGCCUCUGCAUUGCAUUGUAUUUAUUAAGGUGCACUUAUUAAGGUGUGUGAUGAAAACCAUGGUACAGCUUGCCAGUGUCCUCUCCAUCCUUCUGCAUCCAGCAUUGAUUGUAGCUGAUACUGAGAAGCUGUCUUGCCUGUUCCGAGCUUUGUCUUCCUCUCCUGGAAGAAGAGAAAUGCUCUCAUUAGAGGCCUUUGGUGGAGGAUGGCUGUACUGGGAGAGCAUGGUUAAGUGAUGGAAGAGGAGAGCCUUUGUCCUGGCGUGGUGUUUGAGGUGGAAGAAAUUCACUGAAUCCUGUGCCAUCUGAACACCUGCAAGGGGCAUCAGGAUCCUCAAAAAGGAGGUGCUGUGAGGCUGUUUGUUCAAGAUCAAGAAGGACAUCUGUGAGUGGUGUGAUAAGCAGUGUGUGCUUGGAACAGCUCUGGGACAACGGAUCACCUCCAGGCAGCAGCUUUCCUGCUCUGCAGGCCUGUUUUUUUGGUUAUCUAACCAAAAUGGCUGGCAUUUUCCUUGCUCCUUUGAAAGUAAGCGAGAGCACUCUGUAAGCAGCUGCUCAUCAGCCUCAAGCUGCCUUAGCACCUCUGCACCUUGCUCUCUGCACCUGUUCAUAUGAGUAUAGACAGCUAUUGUGAUUGCAGCCCUGUUUUUCUGUGCUUUUACCCUGGUCGUGUGCAUUUACUGCCCACACGUGUUCAUGAACACUGCAUCCUGCUGCUCCAAGCAGGUGCUUCAGCAACACGUGGCUGCUGAGCUCUGCAAUGGCUUCAGCAUCUCUGUUUCAAAGAAGACAUAACCACCUUUGAGGAUCGAUCCAGGAGGAUGCACGGAGAAGGCAGGAGCGUGUUUUACCUCUGGCAAAGAUAAUAAAGACUUCUUGUUGUGCAAAGUGUGUCCUGCCCAGGCUCCCUGGCACACUUCUGCAGCCUCUGGUUCCUGAAUCCAUUUUUCUUGUUAAGAAGGACUCUGUAUCCGAGUACCCGCACACACAGCCACCACAAGCAGGAGCUCUCACUGAGCGACCUCUGUUUGCACUAUUUAUAUAAGGCACGUAGCACAGAAUGGAUGGCCUCUUUUUGUGUCCUGCGCCUAAUGAGUUUAAUUAAACGGAGCACAUCAUACUAUUGAUGAUGUAGGUUUAUUUUUUCAUUCAUAUUGCGUUUCGGGGAAAGCUUUAAGUAAAGGCCUGUUG
rnacentral:lncRNA from 1 species